GAUGAACGCUGGCGGCGUGCCUAAUACAUGCCAGUCGAGCGAACAGACGAGGAGCUUGCUCCUUCGACGUUAGCGGCGGACGGGUGAGUAAAACGUAGGUAACCUACCUAUAAGACUGGGAUAACUUCGGGAAACCGGAGCUAAUACCGGAUAAUAUUUCGAACCGCAUGGUUCGAUAGUGAAAGAUGGCUUUGCUAUCACUUAUAGAUGGACCUGCGCCGUAUUAGCUAGUUGGUAAGGUAACGGCUUACCAAGGCAACGAUACGUAGCCGACCUGAGAGGGGGAUCGGCCACACUAGAACUGAGACACGGUCCAGGCGCCUACGGGAGGCAGCAGUAGGGAAUCUUCGGCAGUGGGCGAGAAGCUGACGGAGCAAGGCCGCGUGAGUGAUGAAGGUCUUCGGAUCGUAAAACUCCGUUAUUAGGGGAGAACGAACGUGUAAGUAGCUGUGCACGACUUGACGGUACCUAAUCAGAAAGCCACGGCUAACUACGUG
rnacentral:rRNA from 1 species